AAUCUGCAGAGGCGGCUCUCUGUGCAGCCUGGCAAAGCGGCAUCUGAUAAUGGCUCUCCCUUUGUUUGUAUCAUACAAUCGAGCUCACGAUCUCUCCAGCACAGGCAGCCCACGGUGUUGUGUCCUGCGAGGCUGAGUGCAGGGCUGUGCACAGCGCAGAGCCCUGCAGUGCCGCAGUCGGCAACGCAGCCCUUCUUGAAGAGCCCCUCAUUCCCAUCCUGGGGCAUCUGAGUUCCUGAAGUGGGCACAGUGUUUACAGAGUCGGCAAUGGGAUGUGCAGCUUCGCAUCAUCUUAAGGCAGAUUUUACAGAUGCCCAUCGUCUGCUCAUUGACUCUCAGCAUCCCAAACGCCUCAGAGCUGUUUGUGAGUGCCCACGGAUUGAUGGCUGAAUGACUGAACACGCAGCACCACGAGGGCUGACAGUGCCCCAGUCUUGGCACUGACCAACACAGCUGUGCCCAGCUCCAACUGCAGGUUUGUCCUCUUCUCCUUGGAAUCCUUCCUGUUAUUUUUCCACCUUCCUGUCACAGGAUGCAACGUUCAUCACGAUAAUAGAUCAAACUUUGAGUGGAAAAACUCCGCUUUACAGUUGUCUUUAGGAUUUCCCAGUUUCAUUUCCUGCAACCCAUAAUGAGCAGGUGGGGCAUUUUCACAGGAUGCUCGGGUGGGCAAGAGAUGCCUAUAAACAUUAUCCCACCUUAACCUCUCAGCUGUCACCUUGAGGUGGGACAGGCCAUCUUCUGAGGUACCCUAGCUUAGAAGCUUGGAUAACUGGAGAAGACCAGCUCCUGAAUACCAGUCGGGCAAUGGCAGGAGAUGACUCCCACUCUCAUGAUGGAGAAGACAACUCCCACUCUCUCUGGGAACUUAAAAUGUCCGUAUUGAUUUCUUAACCUGAAAUGUGCUUUGAAAACCCUGUCUGGAGAGCCUGCUUUGUCUCCCUGCACCUAAAUACUUUUGAAGCGUGGUCAGAGAUGCUCCCAACAUGUGCUCUGGAUUCUCUGGUGAGAGACACAGGAGGAAGUUUUGAGGUGGAAGAGCAGCAUCGGUGUCAAUUUGUUUGGAAGGAUUUUUGUGGACUGGACUUCUGUGGCUUUGCUUGCUUCCUGUUACUCUUAUGUUAUCAGCAUGAAAAUAUUAAAUUAGGUGACCAAUGUAGCCAGUAAGGCUGGCCACAGCU
rnacentral:lncRNA from 7 species